rnacentral:rRNA from 1 species
UACGUAGGGGGCAAGCGUUGUCCGGAAUCAUUGGGCGUAAAGAGCGUGUAGGCGGCCCGAUAAGUCCGCUGUGAAAGUCCAGGGCUCAACCCUGGGAUGCCGGUGGAUACUGUCGGGCUCGAGUCCGGAAGAGGAGUGUGGAAUUCCUGGUGUAGCGGUGAAAUGCGCAGAUAUCAGGAGGAACACCGGUGGCGAAGACGGAUCUCUGGGCCUUACCUGACGCUCAGGUGCGAAAGCUAGGGGAGCGAACAGG